rnacentral:lncRNA from 1 species
AAUCUAUGCCUUGAUGAACAUUAAAGCAUAUGGCCCUGCAGCUUUGUAUAUGUUUUUAUCAAAAGAACGAUUAUCAACCUUCAAAUGCGCGUAUUGAACCUAUAUCUUAUCACAUUACCUGUGGCUUGAAAGUUUCCAAAUUUUUUAUAUAAGGCUAAAGUUGAAACAUUCAUAAAACUACAGGUAUUCAAGAUACGCAAAGGAAUAAAAUAGAAAAGGGAAUACACUGCCCAAGGAAAUAAAAGCUGAAGUAGCGAAGCUAUUUGGUUUUUCUUCAAGGAACUAGCAAAUUACUUGAAUAAAUUAAAUGAAAAUCAAAAUUCGUAUGCACAAGUAAAAAUUUUAAUAAUCUUUCCUCUCCAUUUUAAUUUGUAUUAAUAAAAAAGCCUAUGUAGGAAUUGAACCCACACCUUUUGUUCUAUUGCACAAUGCUCUAACCAUUUGAGCUAAUAGGCUAAGACAAAUACAGGAUAAAUCCAUGAAAACAUAUUAUUGAUUGUCAAUGAUAAAUAGAUGAAAACAUUGUUCUUCUAACCAAUAGAAUAAAUUGACUGUAGAAAAAACCCAGCUCUAAAUUGCAAUAGUUCCAAUAGUCAAGUCAAAAGAUCAAAAGAUAAGGAAACAAAUGAUAUCUAUACAAAAUCAAGAAUAGUUAUAUUACUACCCACAAAUCUACUCUUACUUAUCAUAAUCUUAAUUAUCACAAUCUUACUUAUCAUAAUCACUUUUAUUAUUAUAAUUAUUAUGAAUAAUAUUGACACCAUUGUAUUGCCCAGAAAAAAAAAAAUAUUGAUACCAACAAGCUAGAAAAGAUAUACUGACUAUUGGAUAGCGAUAUUGAAAUUAAAAAUAAAAUAAAAUAAAGAUUUGUAAUUAUUUACCUCAAGUCCUCAACUGAUGAAGCUGUUCUUCUAUGAAUUAUGAGACCUCCCUAACCAGAACUGAACAUCACAUUCACAACAAACGAACUUUGAGCUGUAUUAGUAUUCUCCAAAAUCCUACGGAAACAUUCAUUGAAGCUGAUAAUAUAUUGUCGUUCUUUUGCGACAACAUAUCGACGUUGUUUUCCUGCUCUGCGAUAGUAUAUUGACGUUCGACAUCCAUUGAAGGUGAGGUUGGUACUGAAAAUAGAAAAAAAAUCGAAAUUGCGAGAGUCGAACUCAAACCUACUAAUUUUGUUACGAAUUGUUGCGGAAUUAGUCAAAAUUUUAGGAAGAAUUUUGUGGUUUUGAUGGCUUCUCUAUUCAAUUUCACCGUUCCCGUCGAUGCUUUGUAGACAAUUUUGGGCCACCAUGGAUCGCGAAAGGCUUUGGCGGUGGCAGUGUCGCUGACUGGAACAAGCGCCUACAGAUAGGCUACUUAACGUCUCUCUCUCAUCCCUUUCUUUUGUCCGUCACAUUCUUUUGUGUUAUAAUUAGCAAGUUAUAGAUCCUUUGUUAGCUAAAUGCAAAAUAGUGUGCAGAAGAGUUUCUCUUAAAGCUAAUGUUAUUGUAAAUAAUUUUUAAACAUAUUAUACAUCCGUGUAUAAAAUUUUA